UACGUAGGGGGCAAGCGUUGUCCGGAAUCAUUGGGCGUAAAGAGCGUGUAGGCGGCUUGGCAAGUCUCGCGUGAAAUCCUGCGGCUCCACCGCAGGCGGUCGCGGGAAACUGCCUCGCUAGAGUCCGGAAGAGGAGAGUGGAAUUCCUGGUGUAGCGGUGGAAUGCGCAGAUAUCAGGAAGAACACCCGUGGCGAAGGCGGCUCUCUGGGACGGUACUGACGCUGAGACGCGAAAGCGUGGGGAGCGAACAGG
rnacentral:rRNA from 1 species